rnacentral:rRNA from 1 species
UGAGUUUGAUCCUGGCUCAGAUUGAACGCUGGCGGCAUGCCUUACACAUGCAAGUCGAACGGCAGCACGGGUGCUUGCACCUGGUGGCGAGUGGCGAACGGGUGAGUAAUACAUCGGAACAUGUCCUGUAGUGGGGGAUAGCCCGGCGAAAGCCGGAUUAAUACCGCAUACGAUCUACGGAUGAAAGCGGGGGACCUUCGGGCCUCGCGCUAUAGGGUUGGCCGAUGGCUGAUUAGCUAGUUGGUGGGGUAAAGGCCUACCAAGGCGACGAUCAGUAGCUGGUCUGAGAGGACGACCAGCCACACUGGGACUGAGACACGGCCCAGACUCCUACGGGAGGCAGCAGUGGGGAAUUUUGGACAAUGGGCGAAAGCCUGAUCCAGCAAUGCCGCGUGUGUGAAGAAGGCCUUCGGGUUGCAAAGCACUUUUGUCCGGAAAGAAAUCCUUGGCUCUAAUACAGUCGGGGGAUGACGGUACCGGAAGAAUAAGCACCGGCUAACUACGUGCCAGCAGCCGCGGUAAUACGUAGGGUGCGAGCGUUAAUCGGAAUUACUGGGCGUAAAGCGUGCGCAGGCGGUUUGCUAAGACCGAUGUGAAAUCCCCGGGCUCAACCUGGGAACUGCAUUGGUGACUGGCAGGCUAGAGUAUGGCAGAGGGGGGUAGAAUUCCACGUGUAGCAGUGAAAUGCGUAGAGAUGUGGAGGAAUACCGAUGGCGAAGGCAGCCCCCUGGGCCAAUACUGACGCUCAUGCACGAAAGCGUGGGGAGCAAACAGGAUUAGAUACCCUGGUAGUCCACGCCCUAAACGAUGUCAACUAGUUGUUGGGGAUUCAUUUCCUUAGUAACGUAGCUAACGCGUGAAGUUGACCGCCUGGGGAGUACGGUCGCAAGAUUAAAACUCAAAGGAAUUGACGGGGACCCGCACAAGCGGUGGAUGAUGUGGAUUAAUUCGAUGCAACGCGAAAAACCUUACCUACCCUUGACAUGGUCGGAAUCCUGCUGAGAGGCGGGAGUGCUCGAAAGAGAACCGGCGCACAGGUGCUGCAUGGCUGUCGUCAGCUCGUGCCGUGAGAUGUUGGGUUAAGUCCCGCAACGAGCGCAACCCUUGUCCUUAGUUGCUACGCAAGAGCACUCUAAGGAGACUGCCGGUGACAAACCGGAGGAAGGUGGGGAUGACGUCAAGUCCUCAUGGCCCUUAUGGGUAGGGCUUCACACGUCAUACAAUGGUCGGAACAGAGGGUUGCCAACCCGCGAGGGGGAGCUAAUCCCAGAAAACCGAUCGUAGUCCGGAUUGCACUCUGCAACUCGAGUGCAUGAAGCUGGAAUCGCUAGUAAUCGCGGAUCAGCAUGCCGCGGUGAAUACGUUCCCGGGUCUUGUACACACCGCCCGUCACACCAUGGGAGUGGGUUUUACCAGAAGUGGCUAGUCUAACCGCAAGGAGGACGGUCACCACGGUAGGAUUCAUGACUGGGGUGAAGUCGUAACAAGGUAAAUG